rfam:Schistosoma mattheei strain Denwood, Zambia genome assembly, scaffold: SMTD_scaffold0000107
AUCUAGAUGACGACUCCGAAAUAGGAUGAAACGUGCGUCCUGGAU